UGAACACCAAUUUGUAAAGGGGAGGGAGGGAAGGAGUUCUGAUAAGAUGACAUUUGAAUAGGAAACUGACGAGCCAUGUAGGUGUCCAUGGCAACUGUGUUCCCAGCUGAAGGACAUCAAAGGCAAAGACCCUGAGGCAAGCUCUCAUUCUGACUCUGGGUUCAUCCACGACUUGCUUUGGCCCAUGGAAUGUUAGCAAACACGAUGGCGUGCAGAGCCUGAAAAGCACAUGUAUUUCCUCUUGCCCUUUUUGGGUGAUGGGGUGUAUUCUCUUUUUCCUCUCUGCCUUGUCAUGAGAACAUGCCCAGGCUAACCUACUUCAGAUGGGUGAGAAACAUGUGAAGAAGAGCCAAUGCCGUGUUAAACUAGGUGACAGCCAGCCGACUUGCACACAUAUGAGGAUGGUCAAUGGAGAUCAGCUGAAGAGCCCCCAAUGCACACUUCUGACGGCAGAUGUAAAAGCAAUUAUUGUUCGGCUGCUGCCUUUCAGAAUUCUCUCUAAGUGCUAAUCUCUACUGCUGUUCUCCUGUGAGUCAGAAGGCAUUCUUGCAUUGAAGUUUUGAGGCUGCGAGAAAUUGCCUACGCCUGUAAACAGAGUCUCCUCCUGUUGGUGGAACCCGACUGGAAGCCAGAAGGCAAGAGAACCCAGGUGAUGCAGCCAAAGUGGUCACCCUCUCGAGGUACAGCCAGCAAGAGAAAAGCCAGGAAGAUCUGGAGAGGAAAAAGAAGAACAACCAACACCCUAGUUUUUCAACACUUCAGUUUCCCAGAAAUCCAUGUCCUUUUAGUUGCUUCCAAGAGCAGCACUUUAUUAAAAUUCUGAAAAAUUAGAAGUCUGAAAAAGUCCUUUUUGUCAUUAAGCCACUGUCAGGGUUUUGGAUGGGGCUCAAUAAAUAGAACAUACUCUGGAAUAAUCCAAAAUAAUGGCAAGUGGAAGGCAAAAUAGCAUGCUUACAAUCAGUCAAGUUAGGUUCGAGGGAACAGCUUAGUGAAAAGACCUGGUGAAUCUGCCAGCUGAGCCGUGGAAACAGAAUUCGUUUUGUGUUAUGAGCACAAUUCAUCAGUCUUCUCCAACCAGUCUCAGAUGGCACCAAAUCCCAUGGGGGAGAGCCUGUUUCUAGAGGAAAGUAGAGACUGUGAGCUUCCUCUGAGCAAUUUGUCCCCUGCCCCACGUUCCAGGGGAAGAUGGGGAGGAAAGAGCAGGCCUAUGCACCAGGGCAAAGCUGGAAGUGUAGAGUCCAGCACAUGCCGUUUGAGGGGAGCUCAUGCCCAAGAGGAAGGUGGGUGAAGUGGGGCACAUACAUGCCUAGUUCUUUUUCCCAAACUUCCCAGGCAGGGCACUCUCUCCACUGCCUUGGAGCAGAGUGAGUUAAGGGCAUUGGAGGGAACUGCCUCUUCUCCAUCAUGUCUUCUCAUUCAUUGGUUCAUUCAGCUUACACGCUUUCAGGAGUCAGGCACCCUACAGAUGCGGGGAAUGCAAAGAUGAACAGGAUGCGAUUUAUCCCUAGAUGGUGAUAAUAAGAACAGCCAGCAGUUACUGAGCAUGUUCCUUAAGGGAGGAUGUGUUUUUCAUUCAUUUCUCAUGAAACGUUCACAGCCACCAUAGUAGACAGAUAUUAUUACUAACUUCAUUUUCCAGCUGAAGGGACUGAGGCUUGACGAGGUUAAGGGUCUUGCUCAAAGUCACAGAAAUUAGUUAAUGCAGUUCUAGUUUUCAAAUGUGGGCAGUUUGGCUACAGAGCUGGUGUUCUUCACUCCUUCCCAUGGCACAGGCCAGUGGUGGAGACAGGCAUGGGGAGAAAUAAUUAAAGUGUCAUGAAGGAGGUAAGUGCCAGUGGAGGGCUGUACGGCAUGGUGAGGGAGCAGAGGAAGGAGUGACUACACAGGCCUGUGGGUAUGACUUUUGUGCAAUUUCCCUUGUCCAUUGCCAGAAAUCGACAUGGGGAGUCUUUUUGGGGCAUGCUUUGCUAUUCCUAUACGUGGACUCAGAUAUAGUGCUCAGUUCAUGCUGCCCCGCUGCCCCUCCCAAGCAUAACAGCACUGAAAAUAAUUUCUUCCUGACAUCUUGGACCCCCUCCAAGAGUUCUCUUCCAGCUUUUGGACAAGGCAGAAACAGGAAGAGGAUGUCCUAAUGUUCCCGGACUAGAGACUGAGUUGGAAUUUGGAAUAGUUUUGUGAUUAAAAUCCUUGUGAAGAUUCUAUCAUCCUAUAUGAUAUGUGUGUGUGUCCACACAUAUCAGCUAUGAUACAUGUGCCAUAGAGAAUCACUAAAAUCAGCUUAGAGAUUGGUUAAAUUUCUAUACUUCUAUGGUUUAUAGGGCUUGUGUAAAAAGAAGAUGAUUUUCUAUUUAUAAAUUUUCUCACUUCAAAGACUUUUUUAUGCCACAACUUUGUCAUAAGUUAGUAGCAAUGUAUCACAAUGUCUGCUAACCAUGCAAAACAAAUUCAUUUUUCUGUUUCAUUCCUCUAGGUAGGAAUUGUUUCAAUUGGACCCCCUUUCUCACAGCUUAUCUUUGAGAAAUGGACCAUCUGUACCUUUGGUUUUUAUAUCACUCGAUCCUAGAGUAGGUAUCAUUAAGUCGAUGUGACCAGACUGGAUACUGUACACAGGUGCCGUCUGCUGCCGCCAAGUGAUGGCCUAUUCAUGCCAGGAUAUUAAGUACAUCCUGCAGUUGGUGUAAACACCAGGUGGGAUUCUAAUCCAUUCAGCACAGAGCCCCUCGCUUUUUCCUCUUUAAUGAAUGAAAAUCUCUGGGAAGUCCCUACUCAAGAAUUUUCCAAAGCUUUUGAAGUCAGCGAGCCUCCAAAACGACCCAAGAAGAGAAGACCUAAUUACUCCCGAACCUCCCCAUUCACACUUAUUUCUUGGAGUGACCUCAGAAACUCACAGAGAAGUUCCAAGUUAACAUGCAGCCCCUUUCUUGUGCUAGGUUACUCCUUCAGGCUUUCGGGGUUGGAGAAAUUUUCUCUCCUUUCCAAAGUUGAAACUGCUUGGGAGCUUUGCUCCCCUGACUCAUUGCUACCCUAUUCUCCUCUUAGGGUUAUAGAGAAGACAAAGCGAGAGAAGGUAAUGCUCACAACCAUGGGAUACCUUCUGGGUCUUGAGUAAUCAAAGCAGGGUCUUUGGUCUGUAGAACAAAUGGUGACACUAUGAAGAUCCAACCAGAGCCAUCAUCAGGGGAUUUCCCAGGAGGAAGGACAGCCCUGCUAACUGAUCUGGCCAGAUACCACCACACAAAGGGGCACGGGCACUGUAACUCCACUCCAGCGGCCUCUCAUUCCUUAGGCAUACCGGUAUAUCCUACUGGCACAGGAGGUCUGACAAGCGGAGGAAUUUUGGAGAGGGCACAGUGCACUAGACUUGCAGGAAAAGAUGCUGUGUCUUCUAAGAACUUAUCUAUCCUCAAAGGAAUCACCCGAAAAUGCACAAUUGUGGCAAACCAGAGGCUGUCUCCCAAUAUUCAUUCUUUCUUUUUUCUAUAGUAUCAGAAUCCUCAAUAUGUAGCUAAGAACAUCCUGGAAGCUCUGGUGGUCAUGUGACUAAGUUUUGGCCAGUGGGGUACAAGCAGAAGUGAUGCCAUUUCUGGGUGGUGCCCUUAAAGGGAAGAAGCAGGCACUCCCUUUCUCCAUCUUACCUUUUGAUUGGCUGGACUGUGACUGUGAGGGUAAUCCAUCUUGGACCAUGUGGGUCCAAGGAUGGCAGAGCUACGUGAUAGAAGGCAUGUGGGUCUCGGAGCAUCGAGCUGCCAUUCCUGUCCUGGACUGUUUACUCCCAGACUGUUAGAGGAGAGAGGAAAAACCAUCUAUUGUGUUUAAACCACUGUUAUUUUGGGUUUCUGUCAAAGCAGUCAAGGUUUUAUCCUAAGUCAGUGACUCUGGAGUUCAGUAGGAUGGAGUCAGGUUUAGCUGAGCACAUUGCCUUGUUAAUCUCACGCGUCCAUUUCAACAGGUAGCAUUGCUCCUCCCAGAGCUCUGUAGCUUCCAUUUAGGGUGCUGCCUUUUGGGGGCUACUCAGAGUAAGAAAGGGCUAUGAAAUUAGGCCUCAGCUAGAAUUGGGAUUUGAGAUCUAGACUUUUCGCUUAGGCUCAAAAAUUCUGCCCACAGCUGUCACUCCAAACACUGCCCUCUUUCUCUGGCACUCCCUAAGAUCGACAUCCGUAAGAACAGGACUACUUUUUCAGACAUGACUACAGUGUUUGAACUUGUUGCUAGGACAUCUAUGGAAUUUCCAUAUUCUACCCCAGGAAAGAAAUCUAAUUUUUCUUUGAUGCCACAUUCUUCUUUAGCCAGAAAUACAAGGGAAACACUGUUUGCUGUGGCAUUUUGGCAGAACUCUGAAGUGUGGCCCGGAUCUGGGAACCCACAAUCCAAGAAUAAGUCACCAUUUGCGUACAAAAUUGUUGAAUUUGGGUAGAAACUAGGUUCAGCUAUGCUUGUGAAGCCACUGUCUUGCAGGGUCAAAAAGAGCUUAUUUUUCAAGCAAGUGUGUUUCACUGUUUACUGGCGACUACCAAAAUAAUUAUUUCCUGUGUGGGUCACGGAGAGUGAGGUAAUCCGAAGGAAAAUGUUCCAUUGUGCUUGCUGGGCUGGGCAGUGCAGCAGCUCCAGACGUCCCCUUAAAGCAACAGUCAUCGUGUUGGAUGGUCAAGUCUGGUUCCCAUGUCCUUUGGAGGGAGAUGCAUUUUCUAAUUAAUACUUUCAGGAUCUUGUGAGAGACAGCAAAGGUGAAUGUACACACACACAUACACAUUAAUACAUCUGUAGGUGCCAUUAUCAUGUGGUUCAUUUAGCCGGUUUUAUAGAUGUUUUAGAAAGAGAAUGUGUAUAUAAGCCAAGAUAAUGCUCUCUGCUCCUAUCAACGCAAAAGCAAAACUUACCGGCCACAAGUUGUUAUUGGUUCACUUGUCUGUCUUGAGCCACUUGAGGGCAUGCUUCAUUUGUCUCCAUCUUCCCAGCCCACAUAAUGGCCCAUGACUGGCUGUGAUGCCCAUUAAUCACCUGUGGAUGAGUGUAUGGCUUGCAAAGGAAGUGCAUUCCAGGGAGAGCACUAGUACUCCAAAACGGAUUUCUCUGGUGCUGUGACACUGAGAUGAGAGAGUUUGCCAGGAGUGCUGGCCAGCCAGGACUGGAGCAUCUCUGAGGUGCCAAACUCCACGGUCCCAGAGAUUAAACAGCUCUGUGCUUCCUACCACCAUCCUUUCUGGAGUCAGAGAAGUAGGCACAGAAUUAUCCACAUCACUCGGUAGAUCCUGGCAGAGCAAGUAGAGUGAACUAUGGCAGCCAGGUCAACAGGUGACAGAUGAUCAAAUUAGGGCAAAUGGGUUCCACUUCUUGUCCAUAAAGCAGAAGAAUGCUUUUGCAUGUACACUAUCUGAUACUUCAUCCUGCCUCAGCUUCCACUACUACUCUGGCAUAGGAGCUUACUGUGUACCUUACAGAGUACAGAGCUGCAUAUUGUAAAAGGGAAUGUUUGUUACUAAUUAAUCCAUUAACCAGUUUUUACUGAGUGCCUGCUGUGUGCUAGGCGUUGUAUUGGUGCUGGGGUACGGAGGUGAAUAAGCCAGAUGUGGUCUCUGCCCUUAAGAAGUUUAGCCUCUGAUGGAAGAGAUAGAAAAAUACACAAUAAAUAUAAGGAAUAAUUGCAAAUUGUGGCCAUUUAAGAAAAAUAAACUGGAUAUUUGAGAUAGGGUAUAAAAGAAGGAUGUACACAAUUUACGUAAAGUGGUCAGAAAUGACUUUCAGAAGAAGGAGAAAGCCUUGGCAAGAGUGAAGGGGAAGAACAUUCCAGAAAGGGGAAAAAGCUCAUGUGAAGGACCUGGUGCCUAAAACAAACUGGUAGUUUAGAGGAUAAGAAACCAAUGCUCAUGGGUCUGCAGCAGAGUGGUGAGGGGGAGAGUGUGCCUUAGCUGGCAGAAGUCCUCCAAGGAUUUUUGGGUCUACUGUCAAGGACAGAAGAUCACGUGGAGAAUGUGGCAUGCUUGCAGAGUGGUCAGGGGCCUUGAUGUUAUUAUCCAGAGCAAGAGGUCUGAGCUCAAGUGUGGUCCUUCUGCUAAUGCUGAAAAUCUCGUCUCAGCUACUGUGUCCCACCCUACUGAGUGAGCAGAAUGGAAAGUUGGAAUUCAUCUAAAAUGUGGGAGAAAAACAAGUGCAGGUGGAACUGUGGAGCUUAUGGUUCUGGCCCAAGCGUUGGGCCCCAAGGAGAAAACCACAGGUAGGAGUGGCCAUCCACAUUCAGUCAGUGUUUGGAACUGGGGGCUAAAGAGAACCCUGAUAUUGAGGUCUAAAAUGUUAAUGCACUUUCUGCUCCUCGAUCUUUCAGGCUAUAAGACAUCUGGGAAGUGUCCUUUAUGGAUGUCAUUAAGAUGCUGUCAGAUUCCACUUGAGACCACAGGGCAUGCAGUGCAUGCGUGCGUGUGUGUGCCCAUGUGCGUGUGUGCGUUCACGUGAUCCACAUGCAGGUGAAGGAGAAGCUGAUGGCGGCAGAGGGACUGGCUUACUCAGGGGUUCUUAACCAGGGGUCUGACAUAAUCUUGGGCAGGAAAAAAAUUACAUCUUUACUUUCACUGACCUCUCUAACUGAAGUUUAGCAUUUCAACAACACAUUUAGGCAACAAACCACAGAAAUCUUUGCAAUACUUGUGACUUUGUCAUCAUUUGAAAUCACAGAAUUUUCAAGUCACAUUAUAGUUGCUGAGACGUGGCAAAACAUCACCUAUGCCUAUCACAACUUUAGAAUUACAGUGGUUAUCCCACCACCACUCCAUCUUGUUAUUUAAUGUGUUAAUAAAGCGCAUUUAUUACUAUAUCAUGUUUUAAAAAAUAUUUGAAAACUGCAUACAAUGCUUCUGGUUUUCUUUGUGUUCUUAUGUAUUUUAUUUUUUGCAUUUCAAAAUGUAAUUGUGAGAAGUAGUUUUUAGGCUUCCAGACCACCAAAAGAAUAAGAACUGUCAGACUUAUCAGACAGUCUUGUCAACUGGAUGUAAUAAGAAUGUUGGGGACAAAACAUCCACAUGUUCACUUUCCUGUGAGGCCAUUUUGCCUUCUGACUGAGCAGAAAAAGAGAGGAGACAGUAAGUACUCGUCAACCCCAUGUUCAUGCAGAAACGUACGUAUUUUUAUCCAGCUUGUAGAUCAAUUCAGACACUCAGUUUCUGAGAAAUGAAAAGAGAGUGGUGGAUCUCGAGAGACUAGAGAAAGAUCUGAGAGAGAGUGCCCACAAUCUGGGGUACAACGGGUGCAUUUCCACAAACCCUUCCUAAGCAGAGAUCUGGAAAAAGAACAGACAAUUUUCUCAAAGCUCUGUCCUCCAGGGCUGCAGAAAGUCCGUGCUGUCAGACUGAGCCUUCCUCAUUGCCUUGGGCUGUCGCCCCAGAGUCCUCAGGGAUGAUGUCUGUAGGCACGAUGAAGGUCACUAGCCAGUCUGCCACCUCCGCUGCUUACCUGAUGGGUGCUGUUUGUAGAAAGUCUAAUGUCUUGGCAGAGACAUAGUACCAACAGCAAGCCCUGAGAAGUCUGCUUGGUCUCCCAAAGUCUGAGUGGCACCCAGAGGUAAGAAAUGCCUUCACGUGCCUCUCUGAAAUUAAAAUGCUUCUAUUUCUGCAUCUUGAAGGGAGGGGGAAGAAAGGAAAAAAGAGAACUUUGUUCAUUUUUUCAGAGAGUUUUGAAGUUGAAUUUAAAGCCUAGGAGGUCAUUCACUUCUCCCCUCCCCGCCCCGUCGCCCAUACAGCCUGAACGGUGGUUUCUGAAAGGCUUCUCCCACUGACUCACACAGCCUAGGAAAGCUCCUUCCAAAACGACAGUUUAAUGGCAGAGGGCAGGGAGUCAGAAGUCAUCAGCUUUCCCAAGAUCCCAAGUCUCAGAGCUGGAAGAAGUAUCUUUCGGUCCUUUUCUGCUACUUAGUAGGUCUUCUCAUCUAUAAAAUGGACCAACAGUAAUGGCUCCUCCAUAGAGUUUUUAUGAGAUAGUGCGUGUGCAUUGAAACAAGCAUGGUCAAUGUUUGUCAAUCUCUAACUGCUGUAACUGGUGUUUUCCUAGACAAGUAUGAUUGUCUCGAAGAAGUUUCCUCCUUUUUAUUAAUGCUAAGGCAUUCAUUUGCGCCCCAGGUGUAUUUCCUAUCAUCUCCUCUUUUCUCCCCUACAGAUGGUCCUCUCUCUCUUAUCUCUUCAGUCUUUCUCUCUGCGAUGUCUCCCUUGCCUGAGCAUGAAAACCUGCUUACCUCUCUGUCUCUCCCACCUUAAACAAACCCUCCCCUGCCCUCGCAUCCUGCUCUGGCUCCUGCUGCCUCCUGUCUCCACCUUUGGGACCUGUCUUCCUGCAGAGAGCCAAGGGUGGCCCGGGUUCCGGGCUGGUGGGAGCUUCCUGGUAGAGACUCUGUACCUGCAGGUGGGGCCUGUGGUUUUCCAGCAAUGCCCAUGGCUGCUGGGUCAGCCUGCCUGACCCCGUGGGGCUGGUGGGGGGCGGCAUCUUCGUCCCCCCACCAUAUCACAUUCUCUGGUACUGCUCUGUUGGUGAUAUUUGAAUCUCCGUCAGCCUGAUUCUUGUCUUUUUUAGUCUCUUAUUUGAUUUAGAGCUGAAUGAGCAAGUAGAAGGGAGUUAUUUGUUAGUCUCAAACCCCAGCCAUGGAAAAUGCCAUGAUUUAAGGGGCAGGAGGGGAAGAGCAGCCCGUGAUCUGAUCUGCUUCAUGGCUUCAUCAUAAUCCUGGGCAGGGAGCCAUUCCUCCCCUCCCCUUGCCCUUCCCAGUUCCUGCUGAACCGCUAGGAGGUCUCAGAAACCCCCUUCAGCACCCUGAUCCCGGCAGAUACCCAUCAGUUGGAGUUGAUGUAAGAGAUUAAACCUAUUUGAAAGCCUGGAUCUGGCAGGCUGAUGUCUCCUAAGUCUAACAGCAGCCCAGCCUGUGUGCUGAGCCACGUUGUGAGGGGUCCUUACUGUCAGUUCAAAGAACAAACUUCUUGCCACGGCACGGCCGGCUGGCUGCCUGUCACCUCCUCAGUGUUCCUUCUGUUCCAGCCACACGGAGGUUCUCCUGGUUCCCUAAGCAAGCUGCAUGCUCUUAGGCUUUUGCAAAUAGUGUCUGCUUUGCUUGGAAGGAAAGUCCAAUUCUUCCUCACUGCUGGUCUGGCCAAAUCGGCUUUUCCUGCAAACCACAGCAUCCAGCCUCAAGAAGCCUCUCUGGGUAAGUUAGGGGCUCUGCCUCGGUGUUUCUCCCAGACCUGAGUUCCCUGGGGACAAGGGGACUGCCUUGGGAUCCUCAGCGGGUAGAUCAAGGCCUCCUCCAUUGUGGGCACUGAACACAGCUUUGUUGGGUGAAUGAGUGAAUUUUCGAGGUCACCACAGACUUUCCUAUCCUUGCUUGUUCUGCUUCGAAGUCCCCUAAACAAUUCCAAUUUUUCUAGAAGAUUCCUAUAACAAUUUGGAGUAGCAAAGGUGGGCAAAUUUCAUACAAUGAACACCUAAGUAGCUUAUAUUCCUGAUGUGGAUGAGAUUUUCCCUCGGUUUCCAGCAUCGGUCCUGGCCCCCCGAUGAAGAGAAAGCCCGGUUAGGUUUUAGUCUCUCCAGGUCUGAGCAGCCUAUAAUGAAACAGAAGCUAGAUGCUGUGAGAACAAGUUUAGCCUGGAGUUUUCCUCGAGACCAUGUAUGAAAGACACCACGCGCACUGAGGUAUAAGUGGGUAUUUCUGGACGGAUUCUUAGACUAGUGCUAGAUUCGUCUGGACCUUGCCUCGGGCCUUGCCUCUUUGCUCUUGCUCCUUAAAGUCAGUAUUGGGCUUCUGGUAACAUCUCAGUUAUGGCUUUUUUUUCCUCCUCAAGUUCCUCGUUUCCCCCUCCAAUAAUUCUAGGAGAAAACACAAAAUCGUCAAUUUUAUCAUCUGUAUACACGGGAGGUUAGUAAAGUCUUUAGUGUGUGUGUGUGUGUGUGUGUGUGUGUAUUAAGAUGGAAGUACAGUGACUUAGAAAGAAAGUACUGCUUUUUUCUAAAACUUAAAGGAAAAACUAAGGCUUAAAAACUCAACAUGCUUUUAGCUUUUUAUUAUAUCUGGCACAUAGCAAUGCUUACUAAAUUCUAGCUACAAUUCUUAUUCUAACUGCUAAUAUUAUUAUCAGUAGUAAUAGGAUCCAGUGCUCGGAAGCUAGUGUGGGAGCCUCCUCUGCUGCCCCAGAGUCUCCAUAGGAAGUGGAGAUCGUGUCUAUGAGCUGGAGCUCACCCAAGCUACUUUUGGGACAAACAGGAUCAUGUGUUUGGGACAGAGGUCAGCAGCUGUUCCCCCUCCAUGGCAUUCCAGAGUUGUGGACAGAUGUAUUCAGAUUGACCUUCCUUAUUCGAUGAGUGUGGGAACCGGUGGGGAAGGUUAGAGGGAGGGAGAUACAGCAGGAGGGCGGGUGAGAAGCUUCCCAAGGGGGCCCAGUGACAUGCGAGACUGUUGAAAGCAAUGCUGAAGUUAACAGUUCUGUUUCCUGGAGGUUCUAUGCUAGGAAACAUGUUAGGGGAUGAAGGCCCUUGCGAUUUUUCCAAAGGAGGAAAACCAGGCCUGACGGUUUUCCCAAGGCCAGGAUGAGAUUGUACUUCCUGAAGAGGUCAGAGGGCGCCUCCUUACCAUUCUGCUGAUUGCACAGCAGGGAACAGAAGAGGGUCAAGGCAGGUUCACUGCAAGAUGUGGAGUGAAAUACAUUCCUCACCUUGCCCUCCCAACCCCAGUCAUAUUUAAUUAACAUUCCUGUUUCUAGGAAAUCUCCACAUGUCCCAGCGGCUUCAAAAAAUUAAAAAUUCAGCCUCACACAGGGCCCUUGGUACUUUUGUGCAAUUCCAGCAAUACAACGGGCAGCUGGUCUUCUAUGAGACCAAAAGAACGUGGCUCUGUGAGACGGUCAGAUUUUCCGAACAACAGGAUUUGAGAAUAGCACAGUAGACUUUCCUGAUUUCUUUGGGUCCUGAGACUUGUAAGUUUCCACUGUCAUAAUGGUUUAGUCAGAGUCUGAUUGGUAACAGUCUUUCUCACCUUUAAUGAUGUUGGUUGGUGUUUUCUGUAUCUGCCACGCCCCUUCUGCUUUUUUUCCAGAUUACCAGGAGAAUGAACCCGUCGUCAAGAACUGUCCUGAAGCUCAGAUCGGCAUUGCCUGGGCUCAUGAUGCGUCCUUGCUGACAGUACACAAAUUCUUGGUCUCAUCAGGGGAAGUCCUGUAGGAUGAUGUCAAAACAACAGAAAUCUUGCUUCUUCUUCUUGCCUGGGUCUGCAUGAGUGCAGGCUCAGCAGGGAAGCAACGAGAACCACAUACUCCUUACUGAAGGAAUGUUUUGCAAGUGACAUUUGGAAUUCUCGCUGAAUCCUUAUGAAGUUGGUGCUGAAGGUCACAUGCACCUAUCAAGGAGAUACAUUCCUCUUUAAAAACUUUGCUCCUAACCACUGCAUUGUCAAUCACAUAGUCAAGCUGUUGGCUGAUGGGGAUGGGGUCUACUUUUCCCGUGAUGCUCGAAUCUAGAGAUCACUUUUUUGAGUCAGACCACAUUGAGUUCAAAUCCCUGCUUUGCUACUUGCUGUGUGAUUGUGGGUAAAUCACUUAACCUCUCUAAGCUUCUGUUUCCUUACCUAUGAAAUGGAGAUACUGAUGGUACCAACCUCCUAGAGUUGCUGUGGCGAUUCAAUGAGAUGAUGCAUGCAUAAUGCUUCGCACAAUACUGGGGGGCAGGGGGCCUCCAGCGAAUGUUAGCAACUGCUUUUCCAACUUGGAGCCAUAGGUCUGCCUCCACAGGUGGUUAAAUGGUUUUUGGGUAAUUGUUUUAAGCUACUUUUCAUCAUAUUUUUCAUGCAAUCCUUCAUAAAGCCUCCUAGAUUGUUCCUGCAAAUACAUCUUUGUGUCAUACUUGUUUACUCUGGGAUUAGUCAAUCAAUAUGGCAGUUAUUUUGUGCUUUCAUUUCUUUUAGGCAUAGUGCAAUGUUCGUCAGGCUUCAGUCCUGCUGGCUUGUGAUAUGCAUGACUGUCUUAAUUCAUCUUUGCCUUUUUUUUUUAAAGGAAGAUUAGCCCUGAGCUAACAUCCGUGCUCAUCUUCCUCUACUUUCUGCGUGGGACACCUACCACAGCAUGGCUUGCCAAGUGGUGUCAUGUCUGCACCUGGGAUCCGAAAAAGUGAACCCUGGACUGCCGAAGCGGAACGUGGGGACUUAACCGCUGCGCCUCCCGGGCCGGCCCCCAUCUUUGUCUUUGUCUAUUUUUUGAAUAAGUGUCUCAUACCAACAGCUGGGUAAUACCACACUACUCAACGAGAGAAUCUCAGCGUCAUUAUUUUCCCACAAUCACCAUGUGAGCAUUUGAACCUCUGUAAGGCAGAGCUUUGGGGAAAAUUAGAAACUCAAAUGAAAGGCAAGUUUCUAGCUGGAAUUUAGAUCAAAGAAGAUCUUAUCCUGGUAGGCUUGCUCUCCAUGAGUUAGAGAGAGACACGGGGCCAUCGUCGACUGGCUUGACAACUGCAAAUCUUGAAGACUCUACAGUGAUCCUUUGUAGUUUAUACUGGUAUGUGUUAUUAUUAAAGCUUGCGCAUCAAGGAAGAAUAUUCUGCUAAUUCUCAAACAGGGUUCUGGCGGUACUGAUGCUGUCAAGUAAAAUCAAUCCAUGUAAAUACAUGGGACGUAUAUUCAAUGAUCCAUUUUGAUUGAUCCACCAAACAUUUAUUCAGCCCCUUAUAAUAAGCAUGAAAUAGAGAUUCAUUAAAGCUUGUUUUUAUCUUAAGGGUGGAGAGAUUCACACAUCAUGUGAGAUACGAACAACUUAUUGAGUGAGGUAUUUUCAUCUCCAUUUUACACACGAGGAAUCGUGGCUGUGACUUCCUAGGAUCGUAUGGCUACGAAAUGGCCCAACUGGAAUUUGACUCUAAGUCCAGGGGGUUCAAGUCCUAUGCUUUUAGCCACUGGAAUUCCCAGAUGUGUGGUUUCUUCCCCAUACCAACCAAUCCUCUGACGUCAGCUCAACGUCCUUCCGUUCAAUUCAGUUCUGACGCUAUUUACCUGGAGCUGGUGUCAGAUCCCACAAGUUAAGGGCUCAGUCCAACAAAACCACUCUCAUUUCAGAUGUCAAUUGCAAAUCCCAGGUUGUCACUUGUACUUCUGACUAACUGGCUAUAAAUUGGGUUCCCUCAACCCUCUCCUCAGGUUCAAUAAUUUGCUAGAGUGGCCCACAGAACUCAGGAGAACACUUACUUAUGUUUACCGGUUUAUUAUAUAAUAAAAGAUAUGAUAAAUGAUACAGAUGAACAGUCUGAGGAAGAGAAACCCAGGGCGAGGUCUGGAUUCCAAGUGCGGGAGCUUCUGUCCCUGUGGAGUUGGGGUGGACCAGCCUCCCAGCUCGAGGUGUGCUCGCCAACCCAGAAGUUCCCUGAACUCUGCAGGUCAGGGAUUUUUUAUGGAGGCUUCAUCACGCAGGCAUGAUCAAUUACUACCUCAAUCUCCAGCCCUUCUCCCCUCCCCAAAGGAUAGGAGGUGGGGCUGGAAGUUCCAGGCUUCUAAUCAUGGCUUGAUUUUUCUGGUGCCUAGUCCCUAUCCUGAAGCUAUCCAGGAUCCCACCAAGAGUUGCCUCCUUACAGCAGAAGAUGCUCCUAUCACCCAGGAAAUUCCAAGGGAUUUAGGAUUUCUGCGUCGGGAACUGGGGUCAAAGAGCAAAUAGUAAAACAAAAGAUGCUCCUAGCACCUUUCUUGAUUAGAAAAUUACAAGGAUUUUAGGAGCUCUUGCCAGGAACCAAGGACAAAGACCAAAGUAUAUGUUUCCUAUUAUAUCAUAUUGUUAUACUGUCUGAGAUUCUUUUGUUUUCUUUCAGGAUCUUACCCCCGGUGUUAGUUCCCAUUAUGUUUCAAACAGGCUGU
ensembl:lncRNA